rnacentral:rRNA from 1 species
UACGGAGGGUGCAAGCGUUAUCCGGAUUCACUGGGUUUAAAGGGUGCGUAGGUGGUUUGGUAAGUCCGUGGUGAAAUCUCCGAGCUUAACUCGGAAACUGCCGUGGAUACUAUCAAUCUUGAAUACUGUGGAGGUAAGCGGAACAUGUCAUGUAGCGGUGAAAUGCUUAGAUAUGACAUAGAACACCGAUAGCGGAGGCAGCUUGCUACACAGUCAUUGACACUGAGGCACGAAAGCGUGGGGAUCAAACAGG